GGAACCGAAUAAAUCCACCUUCCACCCCUCAGAGGAACCGAAUAAAUCCACCUUCCACCUCUCAGAGGAACCAGGUCAAUCCCAAAGCCAGGGCUGCAGGUUCUGGGGAGGAUUCAUCACCCGUGGCUGGUUAAACAUCGCGGUGAGACUCAAGAUGGAACUGGGGAAGGUCUGUCAGAAUCUGGGUCACCUGCUCCUCUGCGGUCUCCGGUCUGCGUUCGGAGCUGGCCUGAGUCACGCCUGCGGGAUGCGAUGGGAGAAGUGGGAGAGCUCGUGGUGCAGUAAUUCAAGGGCUCGGACAGGCAGGAGCCCUCGAGUCCUUCCCAGCCCCGCCGGGAGAGGCUCGGCUGCCACUCGGGCCGGGCACCCCCGCUGCCGCUUUGCGCCUCCCGCCUCUGCUCCCCACGUCCCGGCGGAGCGGCCCCGGCUGCAGCGGCUCCUUCCCGUCCCGGGCGUUCCGUGCCUCGGCCCCGCUGCACGAGGGGCUGCGGCAGAGCCGCAGUCACAGCCCGACACGGCAGGGGCUCGCAAACCAGCCCGCGGUCCUGCGGGCGCAGGAGGGGUCUGGGCUCCCGACCCCGAGGUGCGCGGUGCCAGCCUGGGCAGGGGCUGGCCGGGCUGUGAGGGGCCGCCGAGGGCGGGGAGCAGCUCCCCAGCCCCGGGGCUGUCCCCACGUCACCCCCGCUGGUCCCUGUGUGCCGCCCGAACUGGAACCCGAGGGAUGCAGGUGCGUCCCUGCCCUCGGGCUGGCGGCGCUCCCGCCGCGCUGGCCCUGCCAGCCGCGCUGAGAUGUCACCGAAUCCGGCUCUUCCCUGUGAUUAACCGCCCUCAGAGCCUCGGGAUGAGCCGCACGCCGGGCCAGGAGCUGGGAGAGGUCCAGGCUGAGCAUCCCAACCCGCUCCGAGCCAGCGGGGAGUGAUAAAGCUCCUUUAGAUGCUGAUUUAAAGCUGCCUGCCCCGAUGAGCUCGGGCUUUAGAUGCUGAUUUAAAGCUGCCUGCCCCGAUGAGCUCGGGCUUUAUCUGAUCUGGGCCAUCUCAGGGAGGUGCUGGAGUGAUUCCACAGCUCGAUAUCUGCAGAGGAGUUCCUGCCUGUGGUGACAAUCAGUGGCGGGGGAACCACUCUCAGCGUGUGCUGUGCUGGCUCUGAGAUGUCACCCAGCUCCAGAGUGCCACCCCGGCCACCAGGGCUCUUUGAGGCCACACUCGGCUCUCAAACCUGCUUUAAAACACAAUUUCCCCCGGCUGAAAGGCCUGGCACUGCCUCUCGUCCUGACAAAGUUUGACCCAGCAGGAUCAGGGAGCGAGGAGGCGGCAGCUGCCUGGAGAGGAGCAUCCCUCCCGUGUGAGCCGGGUGCCAGCUGCCCAUCCGAGCAUCAGGCCCUGGCUCUCCUGCCGUCCCCAGGGCUCUCACCAGGGGAUCUCUGCAGGCUGAAGUUUCUCCUCUCUUGUCUCUCAGAGCUCAGAGCCAGCGCCGGGCUGUUGGAGGAUGGAAUGGAGGGAGCCCUGAGCAGGUUUAGGGGGAAGGCUCUGGAAGUCAGCAAGGCUUUAAAGGCUGAGCUGGGCUUGCCUCGGGCUGUGCAGCUCUGCAGGCUUCUCCCGGGCUUUGGGAUGCCCCUGGAUGCUGCAGCUCCGUCCAUCCCUCAGAUGAGGAGUCCCAAACGCACCCUCCCGUGUGUCACGCGGCCCAGGGCUGUCCCCAAGGGCCACCACGGGCUCACUGGUGGCUGGGAACGGCUGAUGAGUGGAAGCAGACACAAAACAACAACCUCAGAUUGCAGGGGGUCAUCGCUCCUCCCUCCCAGCCAGCUAAAAAGGAGCAAUUCCAGCCUCCCCCGGGUUCCUUGUGCCCCACGGGAGAUCAGCCAGUCCCGAGGCUCUCUGCCUUCAAGGAGCCCCUAAACCUGGCAGAAAAUCAGCGCUGGGCCACGCAUCCCUCCAGGUCUUACCAAGAAAUUUUGGGGUUUUAUUCCCUUCCCAAAGCCAGGACAGAAGGACACAGCCCUGAGGCGUUAAUUCCCUUCCCCCAGGACUCCUGGAUUUCCCCCGCCUCUCGCAUUCCUAUUUCCUGGCAGGUAUUUUUAUAAUCCCGUAAUUGUUGUUUUCCCCAGGUUCCAUUUUCUGUGUUGCAGCCUGGGCAGAGCCUUUUCCAUCUACAGGCAGCUGGAGCGGCCCCUCGGACACAGCAUGACAAACUGGGAGCUCCAGCAGCACAAACAGCUCCUCUGCCCCUUUUUUUGGGCGCUGGUGUGAGCUCACUGCUCACCCAAACACGGCGUGGGGACAGGGACAAGUCUCUUGGGGUCCCUGAGGAGGAUCUGCCCAGGAUCCUCCAAGGAAGAUAUUUUUGGGGUUUUUUUUCCUGUGGAUUGAGCAUUGCCCUGUGUGCAGUUUUAAAGGAGGAAAAGGGAAGAUGAAAUCUGAGCGGAUCUGUGGGUGCCUGUAGGAGAUUCGUCAUUUCAAGGGAUCUCGUGGAGAGAUGAGUCUGAGCUGGGAGCACACGGAGACGCCGGGAAGGAAAAACAUUUCCCCGUUUCACAGCAGCACAGAAUAAAAUUGUUUCAUUUUCUACUGACCCAGGGAAAAUCGAAAGGCCGCUGAGGACAUUUCUGAAGGGACCUGGAGGAUGAAAACCCCCUCUCCCAGCAGCAGCAGGGGCUGUGCCAGCACAGUGCCACCAGUAAAGGAGCACAACCAGGCACUGGGUGAUCCUGGAGGAGAAAACUCCUCUGCGAGGGCGGGCAGAGCCUGGCAGGGCUGCUGCCGAGGCGGCUCCCGGCUGUGGCUGUGUCACAGGACGUGUUUUGCUCGCGGAUGCCAUGAGGAAGGUGGGACAGCAGCCUGGCAAAGGGACAAGCACUGAGCACUGACCUCCCCGCGCCCUGGUUAAAUAUAGUGCAGACAGUGAUUCAUCCCAGCCGGGUCGGGAGCGACCCGCUUCUCCGGUCCGGACAGACCAACUUCACCCUCAAGGUGACUGAAAAGUUAUUCUGGGCUGCAGAGAGCCCUCUCCUUAUUUCAGGGCUUGCCAGGGAGCUGCUGCAGUUCAGCAGAGCCGGCCAAAGGGGGUUUGGCCUCACGGGGCACCCAGGGAAAAGCUGGGUUUGUUUCUUUCACCAAGUUCCUCCCUGAUUUUUCUCUGGGUCUGCUUUGCCUGAGCUGCGUUUCCUGGCAGGUGAAGUCUUUGGAUGAAAAAUUAUUCUUAGACCUUUCCCACUUGGGAUCUUAUUUCUGAAGCCAUCUAAAAUAGGCUGUUGCUCUACAUUCACGAGAGCGAAUUCACAGCGUUCCUCUGGCCCUCUCCUUGUUUUUAAGCAGGGCAAAACGGAACACAGGAGUUCUGAUGAUGCUGGUUUUAAUGAGAAGAAGAAGAGGAAAAAAAAAAGCUGCAGCCUGCUCCAUUAGUCACCUGGUGUUACAGGAAAGUAAUAAACCAGAAAUGUUCCUGCUCGCUCCUCCAUGCACCUUAUGUUGUGUUUCUGUUUUUGUACCAUUUUUCAGCGUCUUUGAUAUUUUCCCUGGAACACAGGAGGUAAGAUUGCUGAGACGUAGACCUUUACCAUAAUUAAGCGUGUUUCCUCCUCUUGUGAGAGCUCAUUCCUACACAAGUCCUCAGACGUGAAUGGGUUUUUUCCCCCUCUUCUGGGGUAGAACGUGAGCCUGGCUGAGGUGAUGGGGUUUACAUUGUGCACGUCUCUCUCCUGCCUGCAGAGAACCGCUGGAGUUCUCAGCAAGGCUCCUGUGCAUCCCUAAGUGUGACUCUUAGUUCAGAUAAUUUAUAUCUUGUAUGUAGGAAUGUGGAGUUAGAAGCAAAGCAGCCAGAGCUGCAGAUCAGUGUGUGAUGAUGCCCCAAAUUCAGGGCUUUGGGGGACCAAAUAUCCCAUUUUCUGUGGCUGGAGCAUCUCUGUAGCUUUGGGUGAGGCAGCUGCUUUCUCUGCACCAUCCAUUCAUUCCUGACAGCCACAGAGAGGGGGCUUAGGACCCCCUUUUUUUGCAGGCUGAGCUCAUUGAAAUUCUCUACAUGAAACCAGGGCAAGCCCCACUUCCAGUUUAUCCAUUCCCGCAGCUUCCAGCCUGCAAAAUUCCUCCUUGGCAGCACAGGGCGGUCAAGAGAUGCCGAGGGGAUCAUGUGAAGGAGGAGGAGAAAGAUGUUCUUUGGAGCAGCCUUUCUUCACCUUUAUCCUCUCCCUCUUUGUCCCUCGGCUCUCCCACACCCUGUGCAGGUCGGUGCCCGAGGCCGUGCUGGCAGAAUUCCUCGGGGUUCUCCAGCACCCUGCACGCUGCCAUGGCCACGGCUGCAUCAUCAUCACACUUCGGCCCUUCGGGUGCUUCUUUCGAAUGAUUCCCCCCCAGACAACGCCGGCAGCCCCUCAGCACGCGCUUCAAUGUGCCAAGCAGUCCUGCCUCUCACUCCCUGCUCCUUGAGCGACCCGAGGCAGCAGCACUGCAAUCCAUGGAGCAGAUAACGAGCUCCCUUAAUUACCCGGGCUUCUCCGCAGCCUCCUGCCCUCUGCUCGUACUUCUGAAGCCUUAAAACAAUCGAUACCGCACAGAUUUCUCCUGUCCUGAGCCAUCACAGGCCAUCGGGGAUUGUUUUUCUGAUUCUCCCCGGAGUUCAGGGCUGCUGUUUGCAGAGCGGCUCAGCCAGGUUUAAACGUCUG